rnacentral:rRNA from 1 species
UACAGAGGUCUCAAGCGUUGUUCGGAUUCAUUGGGCGUAAAGGGUGCGUAGGCGGCGCUGUAAGUCGGGUGUGAAAUCUCGGGGCUUAACUCCGAAACUGCAUUCGAUACUGCGGUGCUUGAGGACUGGAGAGGAGACUGGAAUUCAUGGUGUAGCAGUGAAAUGCGUAGAGAUCAUGAGGAAGACCAGUGGCGAAGGCGGGUCUCUGGACAGUUCCUGACACUGAGACACGAAGGCCAGGGGAGCAAACGGG